GGCUUUCAUGGUGAGUGAGUGAGCUGUAGUAGCUGCAGGUUCUGGCUCUUCCUCUGGCUGAAGAUGGUACCUGAGAAUCCGGCUCAUCCCCAUGCACCAUAUCAAGGCAUCUUCUUAUUUGAUCCUCACAACCUUCCAGUGUAGACGAGCAAGCUACACCUGAGAGAAUCACAGCUCCUUGCCCACCGCUGACAGAUGUCAAGUGGUGGAGCAGAAAUUGAAGGUUUGCGAAGCAGGGAGCUGACGUGGGCUUACACAGUGCGAACAUGAUCUGUGUCCAGAUUCCGGACAGGACCUGGAGCAAGAAAAUAACCCAAGGCCCUCCUUCCAAGGGAUCCACUCGGCGUUGGGACUCAGCUGAUCUCCUGAGCCAAGACACGAGGGAGAAAGCCCGUCCCUCAGAGGGCAGGUUUCGACAGGCCCAGGAGAGCAUGGAGAGGUGCUCCCAGGCCUGACCUCCACCUCUGAGUUAAGGACAGCAUCCAGGGCUGGCGAACUUUUCUGCGAUAAUUCCAGUGGGUCUUGCCCAUAUUAGGGCAGAACUCUUUUUUUGAGCCCUAUUCAGAAUAUUCAUAUUGGAACUAGUGGUGC
rnacentral:lncRNA from 1 species